rnacentral:miRNA from 1 species
CAUGCCUUUAUCAUGUCCG